rnacentral:rRNA from 1 species
UCGAACGGUAACAGGCCGCAAGGUGCUGACGAGUGGCGAACGGCCUUGUAAUGCAUCGGAACGUGCCCAGUCGUGGGGGAUAACCCUGCGAAAGCUGCGCUAAUACCGCAUACGAUCUAUGGAUGAAAGCGGGGGACCGUAAGGCCUCGCGCGAUUGGAGCGGCCGAUGUCAGAUUAGGUAGUUGGUGGGGUAAAGGCUCACCAAGCCAACGAUCUGUAGCUGGUCUGAGAGGACGACCAGCCACACUGGAACUGAGACACGGUCCAGACUCCUACGGGAGGCAGCAGUGGGGAAUUUUGGACAAUGGGCGCAAGCCUGAUCCAGCAAUGCCGCGUGCAGGAAGAAGGCCUUCGGGUUGUAAACUGCUUUUGUACGGAACGAAACGGUCUGAGUUAAUACCUCGGGCUAAUGACGGUACCGUAAGAAUAAGCACCGGCUAACUACGUGCCAGCAGCCGCGGUAAUACGUAGGGUGCAAGCGUUAAUCGGAAUUACUGGGCGUAAAGCGUGCGCAGGCGGUGAUGUAAGACAGUCGUGAAAUCCUCGGGCUCAACCUGGGAAUUGCGAUUGUGACUGCAUCGCUGGAGUGCGGCAGAGGGGGAUGGAAUUCCGCGUGUAGCAGUGAAAUGCGUAGAUAUGCGGAGGAACACCGAUGGCGAAGGCAAUCCCCUGGGCCUGCACUGACGCUCAUGCACGAAAGCGUGGGGAGCAAACAGGAUUAGAUACCCUGGUAGUCCACGCCCUAAACGAUGUCAACUGGUUGUUGGGUCUCUUCUGACUCAGUAACGAAGCUAACGCGUGAAGUUGACCCCCUGGGGAG